rnacentral:rRNA from 1 species
GGAGGGUGCGAGCGUUGUUCGGAAUUACUGGGCGUAAAGCGCGUGCAGGCGGCCGACUAAGUCCGGUGUGAAAGCCCGGGGCUCACCUCCGGAAGUGCGCUGGAAACUAGUCGGCUAGAGUACGGGAGAGGGAAGCGGAAUUCCUGGUGUAGCGGUGAAAUGCGUAGAUAUCAGGAGGAACACCGGCGGCGAAGGCGGCUUCCUGGACCGAUACUGACGCUGAGACGCGAAAGCGUGGGGAGCAAACAGGAUUAGAUACCCUGGUAGUCCACGCUGUAAACGAUGGGUACUAGGUGUCGCGGGUGUUGACCCCUGCGGUGCCGCAGCUAACGCAUUAAGUACCCCGCCUGGGGAUUACGGUCGCAAGAUUA